UAAGGAAUAUUGGUCAAUGGACGCAAGUCUGAACCAGCCAUGCCGCGUGCAGGAAGACGGCCCUACGGGUUGUAAACUGCUUUUGUACCGGAAUAAACCUUUUCACGUGUGAGAAGCUGAAUGUACGGUAAGAAUAAGGAUCGGCUAACUCCGUGCCAGCAGCCGCGGUAAUACGGAGGAUCCAAGCGUUAUCCGGAUUUAUUGGGUUUAAAGGGUGCGUAGGUGGCCUAUUAAGUCAGGGGUGAAAGACGGUAGCUUAACUAUCGCAGUGCCUUUGAUACUGAUGGGCUUGAAUACACUUGAGGUAGGCGGAAUGUGACAAGUAGCGGUGAAAUGCAUAGAUAUGUCACAGAACACCAAUUGCGAAGGCAGCUUACUAAAGUGUUAUUGACACUGAGGCACGAAAGCGUGGGGAUCAAACAGGAUUAGAUACCCUGGUAGUCCACGCCCUAAACGAUGAAUACUCGAUGUUGGCGAUAUACGGUCAGCGUCUAAGCGAAAGCGUUAAGUAUUCCACCUGGGGAGUACGCCCGCAAGGGUGAAAGCUCAAAGGAAUUGAC
rnacentral:rRNA from 1 species